CUGCUGCAUUGGGAUGCUUAGUCUGCAGGGCGAAGAGAGAGGAGGGGGCGAUGGCGUUGGAGGGGUGUGCGGUGGGGAGGGAAGGAGGGGGGUGGAGGGAGUGAGGGGAGAGCUGGGAGCAAGGGUCUCCGUUCACCUUGUGUCGCGUCAAAAACAGAUGGCUUGUUCCUGUAGCAGGAGAGAGGGGAUCUCCUAUCGCUCUGUCCCAAUCCCAGAGGAGGGUAGCAUGGAAAACCGAGACAGGGAGGAGAGAGGCAGCAGCAGUGUGGGCAGACACAGACGCAGAGGAUACAGAGGAUACACCACAGAUCCUGCAGAAGGGGGAGCACCGAGACCCAGGUAAAGGGGAACCAAGACUUUCCCGGCUGGACAGAAGCAGCCCUCUCUGAAUGGUCGUUAGCCGGCAGCCGAGACACCCUGCUGGGAUCGACAACGCGGCGCUGGCUGGGGUGCCCUGCCUGCCACCCUGAGAGGGGGCCCCGUG
rnacentral:lncRNA from 1 species